rnacentral:rRNA from 1 species
GAAAAUACAAUGAUUCCCCUAGUAACUGCGAGUGAAGAGGGAUAAGCUCAAAUUUUAAAUCUGUCAGGUGUUACCUGACCGAGUUGUAAUUUGAAGAAGCGUUUUUCGCGCGUUCUGGCCAGCCCAAGUUCCUUGGAACAGGGCAUCAUGGAGGGUGAGAAUCCCGUUUGGUUGGUCAGGUGCGUUUUAUGAUACGCUUUCAAAGAGUCAAGUUGUUUGGGAUUGCAGCUUAAAAUGGGAGGUAAAUUUCUCCUAAGGCUAAAUAACGGCGAGAGACCGAUAGCGAACAAGUACCGUGAGGGAAAGAUGAAAAGCAUUUUGAAAAGAAAGUCAAAUAGUACGUGAAAUUGUUGAAAGGGAAACGAUUGAAGUCAGUCGUACCGGCGGGUACUCAACCAUCUGGGUGCGAUUAUGGUGGGUGAUGAAGAGCUUAACCGCCUUCGCGUCUGCGUAUUUGUGCCUUAUUGGUGUAUUUAUUCGCAUGGUAAGUUAACAUCAAUUUCGGUUGUCAUAAAAUGACGGGAGGAAUGUAGCUUUGAUCUCGUAUUAAAGUGUUAUAGCCUCUGGUAGAUGUUAUGAUCGGGAUUGAGGAUUGCAACGAACCCUUCGGGGCUACCUGUCUGGCCUCUGGUGGUCGCUCUGGUGCCGAAAGCGUGCUUACGGUUAUCAAAGUUGGUUGCCAAAAGGUUAGAACGGGAUAAUUUCGUUAAGGAUGUUG